rnacentral:tRNA from 1 species
UGUGGGAUGGCCGAGUAAAGGUGAAAGAUUGUAGCUCUUUUAACGGAGGAAAUGCCUCCUCCCACAA